AGCACUGAGGACGCCAUUAUCCUCUGUUUCUCUACUACACCGACCUCGACGUCUUGGCUGUGUCCCACUUGUUUGCAGCCUACUACAGCACUAGGGUGUCAGUUGUUGGUCCCGCCCAGAACACUUUAGUUCUGCUCUGCAAGGAUAUAUAAUAACUGAUUGGUGUGUCCAUUUAAUACAAGAAAAUGGAAACCGAACAGCCAGAGGAAACUUUCCCCAACACUGAAACCAAUGGUGAAUUUGGUAAACGCCCUGCAGAAGAUAUGGAAGAGGAACAAGCAUUUAAAAGGUCUAGAAACACUGAUAAGAUGGUUGAAUUACGUAUUCUGCUUCAGAGCAAGAAUGCUGGGGCAGUGAUUGGAAAAGGAGGCAAGAAUAUUAAGGCUCUCCGUACUGACUACAAUGCCAGUGUUUCAGUCCCAGACAGCAGUGGCCCCGAGCGCAUAUUGAGGCAUCAGUGCUGAUAUUGAAACAAUUGGAGAAAUACUGAAGAAAAUCAUCCCUACCUUGGAAGAGGGCCUGCAGUUGCCAUCACCCAGUGCAACCAGCCAGCUCCCGCUCGAAUCUGAUGCUGUGGAAUGCUUAAAUUACCAGCACUAUAAAGGAAGCGACUUUGACUGCGUGUUGAGACUGUUGAUUCAUCAGAGUCUGGCAGGAGGAAUUAUUGGGGUCAAAAGGUGCUAAAAUCAAAGAACUUCGUGAGAACACUCAAACAACAAUCAAGCUUUUCCAGGAAUGCUGUCCUCAUUCCACUGACAGAGUCGUUCUUAUUGGAGGAAAACCUGAUAGGGUUGAAGAGUGCAUAAAGAUCAUUCUUGAUCUUAUAUCGGAGUCUCCCAUCAAAGGACGUGCACAGCCUUAUGAUCCCAAUUUUUACGAUGAAACUAUGAUUAUGGUGGUUUACAAUGAUGUUUGAUGACCGCCGUGGACGGCCUGUAGGAUUUCAAUGCGGGGAAGAGGUGGUUUUGACAGAACUGCCUCUGGUGGGGAUGGGCAUCCCAUGCCUCCGUCUAGAAGAGAUUAUGAUGAUAUGAGCCCUCGUAGAGGACCACCUCCCCUCCUCCUGGUCGAGGUGGCCGGGGUGGUAGUAGAGCUCGGAAUCUCCUCUUCCUCCUCCACCACCUCCUAGAGGAGGAGAUCUAAUGGCCUAUGAUAGAAGAGGAAGACCUGGAGACCGCUACGAUGGCAUGGUUGGUUUCAGUGCUGAUGAAACUUGGGACUCUGCAAUAGAUACACGGAGCCCAUCAGAAUGGCAGAUGACUUAUGAACCACAGGGAGGCUCUGGAUAUGAUUAUUCCUAUGCAGGGGGUCGUGGCUCAUAUGGUGAUCUUGGUGGACCUAUUAUUACUACACAAGUAAUAUUCCAAAGAUUGGCUGGAUCUAUAUGGCAAGGUGGUCAGCGGAUUAAAACAAAUCCGUCAUGAGUCGGAGCUUCGAUCAAAAUCGAUGAGCCUUUAGAAGGAUCCGAAGAUCGGAUCAUUACGUUCGAUACAGGACAGAUCUGCCGUUUUGCGACAAGUGUGAAGCAGUAUGCAGAUGUUGAAGGAUUCUAA